GGAUUCGAUCAUUCCAGCACGAAAGCUCCGGAUACCAUCAGAACUCCGAAGUUAAGCAUGCUUGGGCCCGAGUUGUACUAGGAUGGUGACCUCCUAGGAAGCUCUUUUCUUGCAUUCC
rnacentral:rRNA from 3 species